rnacentral:lncRNA from 1 species
GAGGAUGUUUGGCCUUUGGUCGGAGGGAAAUUACAGAUGGAAACCUCAUUUCCUCCCAUCGGUCUGGAUUCUUCUGCUGGCAGCCGCGCCGCGCUCAGCGCUCGGAUCUUUCCUGGCAGACACCAAAGCCGUUCUGAUUGGCUGCGAGGACCAGUGGACGCUGCAGAGCGCCGUGGUCGUGCCCCGCCUCUUCCAGAUGACGGUGUGCGUGGACGUGCACGUGGUCGUCCCUGGAGCCUGGGCGGGCUUCCUGUACACCUCGGUGCGCGGUCCCAAUCCUGACCUGGGCCUGGAGGGAGACGCCACGGCGAUUUACGGGUGGUUGCUUCAAGUCCGCCACCGAUUCCCGCUGCAGCUGACGCCGCUGCAGUGGCACCGAGUGUGUCUGAGGCGGGACGCCGAGGGCAACUCCUUCAUUCUGGAGGUGGACGGGCGGACGGUGGCGGAGAGGACGGUGAUCGCCCAGGCCAUCCCUCCGUCCGGCACCCUGUGGCUGGGCUGCCAUCCCAGACUGCAGCCCCCGGGGGCUCAGCCGGGGAGGGUGGAGCUGUACCUGUUCCGCAUGUGGGCGGACCUGAACGACCACGGUCUGUGCGAGGACGGCUCCGUGAUUGGCUGGGACUCUCGGUUCUGGAGCGUGACCGGUCCCAAGGCCAAAGCGAAGGACCCGUACCUGCUGUGUGGACUCACGACUGGUCCGGGAAUGUCUCGGGAAUAUUCUCCAGACCCUGAUUUCACACCCAACCCCCCCAACCUGUCGUCUACAGUCAGGCUGACCACGCCCCCCAUCACCACUGCAGCCAAUCAUCCCAGCAGCAGUGCGGCUGCAGAGCCUGCGCAGUCAGGUGAAGGAUCACCUGUGCUGAAGUGUGACACGCGGCAGCUCUGCUCCAAUCACAGUAAGCAUGACUCUUUUCUGUCCAAUCAGAGCCUCUGUACAGGUGUGCCAGCUGCUCUCAGCCGUCUUCUCUUCACAGGUUCUCAUUUCUGGGUGUCAGUGACUGCUGAGGACCACUUUGAUGACGACCUGCAGGAUCAGGUUUCCAAAGCUUUUUCAUGUGAGAACGCCAACGCCACACCGUCACAGAGUUUCACAGAGUUCUGUCGGAGCGGCGGGAACGUUCAGGUCGUGGACGCGUCCUGCUCCAACACCACCGUCAGCACAACAACCUGCGGCGUGCUGCUGCUGCUGCUCAAAGGCACUGUGUCAGCAUGCGACCUGCAGCUCAUUGGGGAAUCUGCCCUGCAGCCGUCUGCCCCGCAGCCGUCUGCCCCGCAGCCGUCUGCGGGACGGAUGAGGCCAACCAUCAGGGUUCAGGUGGAGCGAGUGGGUCAGAACCUCUGUGAGGGUUUGUCUCCAUCUGAAGGCAGCUUCGUGAGAUGCUCGUCCACGUCUUCUCUGGAAGACAUCUGCCGCUCCAACGCUCACUCCAACAUUUCAUGCUCCAUCUUGGAGUCGGACUCUCCGCCCGUCUCUGAGCCCGGGUCGUCCUCCUGCACUGAGCCGGCGCCGACCUUCUGUGACUGCUCUGCGUCCUGCACUUCUACAAGUCAGUUUUAUGCCAUGAAACUCAACAUUAGAAACAACAGUUUCAAUGUUAAUACCCUCAAAAACAUGUUCUUACCGCCUCCACUG